AGCACCUUGGUUCAGAAAGAAGCGUCGGUAGCGGUACCGCCGUUUCCAGAGUCAGUUUAUGGAAGCGUUUGGUAGCGGCAAGUGGUGUUGCCUCUAACUUGAGGUUUCAGGUAGUGGGCCGGCUGAGGUUUCAUCUCUGUUAAUAAAUAGCUGUAUGACCUCAGAUCGGCCAAUUUCCUCUCAGAUUCCUCCUCUGUAAAUUAAAGGUUUCUACACUAUGCUCAUGAGGUUUUUUCUUAGCACCCACUUUCUAAUUCUAAAUUUAAUAUCUACUGUAGAUGUAUGACUUUAGGAGCUCUUUAGAUCUGGAGAGUUCGAAGAACAAAAUGUCAUCCAAACAUACCAUGUCAUGGAAGUGAUAUUUAUUUGCUCAUGCCCCAAUGUGGCCUUUAUUAUGAUGAGCUCAGAGAGCAUCUGAUAUGUCAUCUCAAACACAAUAAACAUGUUCCUGAAGGCAUAAAAAAAAAGCAGGACUACCUCCCAGAAACUUGCAUUUUAAAAGAUGGCCCAAA